rnacentral:lncRNA from 1 species
AGCCAUGUUUUUAACUUUAUGUGACAUUUUUAGUCACAAUUUCGCUUUCAAUGAUUGACUACCUGCCAAUAAAUUUUUUUCUAAUUUGACCUGAAACUUCAUAAAGUUGACUGACUAUACACACCCACAAACCGUUCCCCAUACCAAUCUACAAGGAACAUUUUACAAAAUUCACCUGAAACUUUUAAAAAGAAGAAAUUUACACCCUAAAGGCUGCUAAAACGUGACGGCCUUAUCCACUGUCAAAGGCCAUAUGGCGCUACAUUUAGCCGUUUACGAAUUAAACUUCACUUUGUACCUUUUUAAUGUCGUUUUUGUUGGGAUUGGAAAAUCCCAUAUCCAACUCUAUAUUUUCCGAUUAAUACGAUAUUGUCUACUUUGUGCUUUAGAGGUUGGCCCACAUGGAUUUACUUUUGGUUUUCUUUCCAAAAGACCUCGUACUAUUAGAGUUGGACAUCUCUUUAUAUAUUAGACACUCUUUGUCUAAUUAUCCAAUGUGAGACUUAGUUUGUUAUCUCACAUUCUCUCCCUCAAACUAAAGAUCACAUUCAUCUCGUGUCCCACAACUGACUUCGAAGAUCUUUUGACUUGAUCUCUGCCACACACACCUCUCAAUCCUAACUCGAUGAGUCCCGUUCCUACUCGAAGGGUAUUUUGGUCUUCUUGCAAAUUUUCGUCAAACCGGUCUGAUACCCCAAUUGUUGGGAUUGUGA